rnacentral:rRNA from 1 species
AACGAACGCUGGCGGCAUGCCUAACACAUGCAAGUCGAACGAAGGCUUCGGCCUUAGUGGCGCACGGGUGCGUAACGCGUGGGAAUCUGCCCUUUGGUUCGGAAUAACAGCUGGAAACGGCUGCUAAUACCGGAUGAUGACGAAAGUCCAAAGAUUUAUCGCCAGAGGAUGAGCCCGCGUUGGAUUAGGUAGUUGGUGGGGUAAAGGCCUACCAAGCCGACGAUCCAUAGCUGGUCUGAGAGGAUGAUCAGCCACACUGGGACUGAGACACGGCCCAGACUCCUACGGGAGGCAGCAGUGGGGAAUAUUGGACGGUGGGCGCAAGCCUGAUCCAGCAAUGCCGCGUGAGUGAUGAAGGCCCUAGGGUUGUAAAGCUCUUUUACCCGGGAAGAUAAUGACGGUACCGGGAGAAUAAGCCCCGGCUAACUCCGUG